AAAUAUCUUGUCUUUGUAGUGCAUUCAACUGAAUAUGGGUUGAAAAGGAUUUGCAAAUCAUUGUAUUCUGUUUAUAUUUACAUCUAACACAAUUUCCCAACUCAUAUGGAAACGGGGUUUGUAUUUCUAGUUCACAAACAAGUGUAGCUGCAUGCAUGUGGGCACAAAUUGCUGGUGACGAUCUUUAUAACGUCCUUUAUUGUGCUUUGAGCAGUUCAAUUCCCUAAAAGUGACAUAAGUGACAGUGCCGCUGUGCGUUGGCACAUCCAGAUAACAUUUAAUGACGUGGUCAUGGUCCAGAGCAGAACUGGUCAACAGUAUCUUGCUCAAAGGCACUUCAGCGAGGGUCCAGAGUUGGGCUUUUUUUUUUUUUUUUAGUUCACACACAGACAAGCAACCACCAGCAGCAGCAGAAUUAUCUCAGGGUCCGCGGCCAUCGGUACCGAAGCGCUUUCGCUCGCUUCGAUCCCAGAGGCACCUUUUGUGACGGACGCUGCUGUAUAAGUGGGCAAAGUCCCUCUCAGAUCUCUGGGAAUUUGCUCCAGCGGCCCUUUGAUGGAGGUCCCGUCUUUGGGGGACUGCUGAUCCGAGACGUCCCUGUCUGGUGUCUUGUACCACUGGCACUGGAAGUCUUUCUUCCACAUCUCGGCGGGGUCCGGUUCAGCUGCUUUAGCGUCAGGGUCGGGCUGGUCUGUGGCUUUUUCUGCCUCCGCCUGCAGGGAGGAAAUUUUUUUUUUAAUUUAAGACUUAAGCAAAUGGACGAUAGAUAGGGCUUAGCUAUGCAAAUACCCGUUUAGAAGAGCAAUAGAAGUAGUUUUAGACUGCUAAAUACAUCCAUCCAUUCAGCCAUUUUCUACCGCUUGUCCCUUUUGGGGUCACGGGGGGUCGCUGGAGUCUAACUCAGCUGCGUUUCUGCAUAAGUCAGCGUACACCCUGGACAAGUCGCCACCUCAUCACAGGGCCAACACAGAUAGACAACAUUCACACACUAGGGACCAUUUAGUGUUGCCAAUCAACCUAUCCCCAGGUGCAUGUCUUUGGAGGUGGGAGGAAGCCGGAGUACCCGGAGGGAACCCACGCAGUCACGGGGGAGAACAUGCAAACUCCACACAGAAAGAUCCCGAGCCCGGGAUUGAACUCAGGACCUUCGUAUUGUGAGGAUGUCCAACAGAUUGUGUUGGAUAAUGAGUUGCAUUUGGUCAAAUCAGACAAAGAGGAACAUGUUCAUUGUUUUUGCUUAUUAGGAGGUGAAGAUGAGCUCCAACAAUUGAUGACCACUCCGGCUGUUCCCAUGGCAGCACUCUCUCCGAUGCUGCUGACCAGGUCUGCCUGGAGGAGGACAACAUGCAAAGACGGUGUGAAAAUGUCUGACAUCCACAUAAACGACUACAGGGUGUAGUAUUAUCUUUACCAGCAAUGUUCUUUGAUUAGUAUGCUGUCCAUGAGUAGCUACUGUUUUACCUUUUUUGUUGAUUAUUUACCUAAUCUGAGAAUCAGAGGAAUUGGAAGCAAAAUUGAAAACUCCUACCAUUUUUCUGUUUCAAAACGAUCAUCAAUGAUGAAUAUUUUGGUGCCAGUCACCAGUGUGAUUAGUCUAGUGCAGGGGUCACCAACGCAGUGCCCGCGGUUACCAGGUCGCCCGAAAGGACCAGCUGAGUCGCCCGCUGGCCUGUUCUAAAAAUAGCUCUAAUAGCAGCACUUACCAGUGAGCUGCCUCUAUUUUUUCAAUUUUAUUUAUUUACUAGCAAGCUGGUCUCGCUUUGCUUGACAUUUUUAAUUCUAAGAGAGACAAAACUCAAAUAGAAUUUGAAAAUCCAAGAAAAUAUUUUAAAGACUUGGUCUUCACUUCUUUAAAUACAUUCAUUUAUCUUUUUACUUUCAG